rnacentral:lncRNA from 1 species
AAAAUGGGAAGUAAGGAACAAUGGGGUUCGGAGGUGGCGGUGUUGGGUAGUUUUUGUACGUCGGUGGAGGGUAGUACAUGCCGCCAAUGACACCACCAGGCGGCGGGGGAGCAUAGUUGUUGUUGUUACCCCCGGAUUGAGCUGGUGGUGGUGGAGAGUAGUAGUAGCUGCCACCACCACUAGAGGUGGGUGGAGAUGGAGGUGGUGGGCAGUAGUUGGGGUUAUUAGCGGGAGGAGGUGGCGAAGCUGCAGGCGGCGGUGGAGACGGUGACGGCGGAGAUGGGACUUGCUGCUGGCAAGGGGUGCAUUUUAUGGGAUCGGUACUAGUUUCUUCUGAAAGUACUGAACUCAGUAGCAUCAUCAGCAAUGUCGAAACGACAGAAAUCGUCUGAAAAAUUUUCAUCUUUUUUUGGGAGAAAAUUAGCAACUUUGUUUCCCUGAUUUGAUGAAGUGAAAAUGAGAAAGGAGAGGAGAGAUUGAAGGAAAGAAAGGGCGAGAAAGUGAGUGAAAGAGUGUGGGUUGAGUUCAAAGGAAAUUAGUGCGUACCCUUAUGAUUGAAGUUUGAAGUUUACGGGAAGCUAUUUUUAUACGAUUGAUUAAACCAAAAUUAUUAAUUUUUCCUUUUUAAAUGAAGUUUAUUUUUAAAUAAAAUUAUUUAUAUAUGAAAAAGGGGGCAUGGAUGGAACUUGAAAGUCUAAAAGAUGACACCGACACGUUUUAACUUUAACCUUUGAACAGGGCGCCGAAUUUUACGCGGAAUCUCAGGAGUUUUACGUCCAUGUGCUCAGAAGUUGGGGGUAGUUUCGGUAUUUUCCAAAUAUAAUUGAUGACGUGUCCAUUACAAUAGUGGAAAUUAAGCUCAUUCAUCUUGCUACAUUUUCGUCUAUCAUUUCAAAUUUAUUGAUUUUCUAAAAAUACUUAUAAACAUAUGAUUCUUUUAAAUAUUCAAUUGAGUUUGUUUUAUUUAUUAAUUAAGCCUUAAUUAAUAUAAUUUUUUGAUAAAUUAAAAUUUUAAAUUUAAAUUUAAAUUAUAAACUUUGUUUGAUAUCUUUCUUAACAUUAAGUAGAUGAUAAGAUUAGAUUGUUUAAUAAAUAUAAUUUUUAAAAAUUUAAAGGUAAAGUAUUUAACAGAUAAUGCUAAAAGAAAUAAAAAAAAUCAACAUGAAGUGAUAAGUAACUCUUCAUCUACUUAUAAUUUUUUUGUGAGCAAUAUGUGAAAAUAAUAAUAUAACACCCCAUUUCUAGUCUAGUCACGGGACACAAACUACAAGGUGCUACGACAGUGAACCAAAACAUUCAUAAGUAAUUUAAUCAAAUAACAUUCAAUAAAUCAAUAUAUAAAGUUAAGUUCAUGUUAAAGAUGCAUUACAAUCAAAUUCGAGUCUCAAUCGAGUUUACGAAAGCCUUUUAAAAUAGUUUGGAACCAAAUCAGAAUCAUUUUGAAAUAUUUACAAAAUAAAAGGUAAAAAGUUAAAACAGGGGUCACACGGUCAUAUGGUAAGGCUGAGGCACCAUGUGGUGUUAUCACACAAGUGUGUCCCCAAAUCGUGUAAUAGACUGAUGCCAUAUAGUCCAAGGUCACACAGUCGUGUCGCCAAGCCGUGUGAACUAAAAACCAACCUGAACGUGUAGCACACACUGCCGUGUCAAAAACCCAUGUGUGACACACAGUCGUGUAGUAGCCUGUGUGUAACAUAAAUGACCUAUUUGUACAAGUUUUAUACCAUCCAAGCUAAGUGACCUAUAGUGCCAAUUUAUGUCAUUCAUUCCCACACCAAAACAUAAAAUUUCAAAACUAAAAUAUUGGCUCACAUAAUCAUUUAAACAUAUAACCAAUAUGCCCUCAUUGGCGCCAAAAUUUAUUAAACACAAUUCAUGUCUCAACCAUUUCAUAUCACAACUCAACCAUACCAAACAUAAGCAUUUGCUAAACACAACAAAAAAUCUAUAGCCAUUUCAUGCCACCAUCUAAAACAUAUGUAUAAUGUCAUUCAAAAUACCAAACUUAUCAUAUACCAAACAUCCAAUAUCAAACCAUAAACAUAGAUUUAUAUAUACAAAGCUAUUACCUCAAGUUUCACAUUUUUUUACAUAAGAUAAUCCAAACUAAGUACAUGCCACAAGUAACCAAAAUGAAACAUCAAAAGUCUAUUGAAUCAAGAGACAGUAAGUGUGAGUUUCUCGCUGAUCCGAUCGACAUGCUCCAAAAGUCCAAAGUCUAUAGAAAAGUAGUAACACGGGUAAGUAUAUAAAAUACUUAGUAAGUUCAUACAUUAUAAACAUUUACUUACCUCAAUUUCUUAUCACACACAACAUCAUGUAAUAUAAAUAUACCUAUCAAGAUUUAAACAACAUCAUUAACGAGUAAGGUUUGAGCUCAUUCACAUAUAUAACCUUAAAUGUUCACAUUUGAUUUCAAACCAACUUAUACCUUGAAACUUCCUAAAAAAACUCCGUACACAGGUGAAGGUAGUAGUGUCUAAUUACCUAUUUGGGUUAAACCUACACGAAUUGAAUAAUAGUUGCUGGUCACUCGUUAGGGUUGAACCUACACAACAAAUAGCUUAGCCAGGGCUUAAUAUACCUAUAUUCUCGAGUCUGCAACACAUGCUGGAGCUUGGAACCUAUAAGCAAUAACCUGUAACCCUGUAUAUAAGAUUUUUACUAAUUUCAUCAAAAUUUAUCUCACAUUGUAUCAUAAUUCAUAUUCACCAACAUUCACCAUAACCAAAUCAAAUAUAACAUAUUAGUAUUAGCAAUUUAGUUAUGUAGUAUGAACUUACCUGACAAAAUCGUAGCGGUUUAAUUAGCAAUGACUAGUCGUCAAUUUUUCCUUUUCACCAUACAUCCUCUGGUUGUUGUAAUUCUUGAUCUAAAGCAUAAAUUGAAUCAAUUAAAUAUUUCAAUUUACAUUUAACAACAUAUAGAAGUCAUAUGAUAUCUCAAUUCCAUUUAUACAACAAUUCUCCAAAAUUUACAUUUAUCUCAAUUUAGUCCUAAAACUAAAACAAGUUUAUUUUCCACAAUUAAGCUCAACAAUAAGAUGUUGAAUUCAUCAUCAUCCCUAAACAACCCUCAAAGAAUGAAAUUUUAUAGAAAUAUCAAGCCAAUUUCAACAUAUUAUCAAUUUAGUCCCUAAACUCAAAACUAUUAAAAAUUACUGUACAAAAUAGUCAUAUUUCAACAUUAAGCUUCAACAUCUAAAAAGCUUCAAGUACAUCAAUGGUAAGUUUUCAAAACUGUGAAAGUAUUUCAAAAUAGUCCCUGGACUAGCUCAAUUAAGCUACAAUGAUCUCAAAAUUUUAAAAUUUACGAAAAAUAGAUAAAGAAAUGGCUUAAAUGCAUAAAACCUAGCUUGGUCGAAUAUGAAGUGUAACAGCCCGAUUUAGACCCUAUUCGGAAUGGUGGUUUCGGGACCACGAAUCCGAGUCAUAAAAAAUAUUUAAAAAAUUAUUUUCUGUGUUUAUUAUGUGUGAAUUUAUAUGUGUGAAAUUUUUGUGAUUUAAUUUUGUCAUUGGAGUGCCGAUUUAAUAAAAAUGUCUUAAUCAAGUAAAAUGAAAAUUUGAUGAUUAAAUGUGAAAGGACUGAAUUGUUGUUGUCUUUUUAAUUUGAGGUAUUUAUUAUGCAAUAUAACCAUUGUUAAAGUAAUGGACGGUUAUAACCAUGACUUAUAAUGGUUUAAAAUUUUAGUUUAAAGGUUAAAUAUGUAAAAUAAUAAAUAUGUUAUUAUAAUAAAACAUACAAUAAAAUUAUCAUGCAUUUAUCUUUCAUUCUUCAUGACCGAAAGUAAAAGAAAAGAGAAAGAAUAAGGUCUUCAAUGUUUCAGCCAUUUUUGAGCUUGAUUAAGGUAUGUAACUAGCUCAGUUUUGAUAAUUUUUACGUUUUUGAAAUCGUUGUAGUGUAAUGUACAAAGCCCAUUCUUGAAUUUCUAAUUUUGAUGAAUAUUUUGAGAUAUGCCAUUGAUGAAUAAUUGAGCUUUGUGAUGUUAGUUGAUGAAUUAUGAAAGAUAUGUUUUGGAUUAAUAUGUUUUAUAUUGGAAUUUUUGAUGAUUUUGAGUAAUUAGGUCUAAAUUGUAAAAAUAAUAAAUUGAGGGACUAAAAUGUGAAAUAAAUGAAAUGUGUGGACUUUUAUGAGCAUGGGUAACAUUUGGCCUAAGCAUGGUGUGUGCAAAUUUUGCAUGUUUUGUGUUUUGUGUUUUGUGCAAUUUGGACUAAAUUGUAAAAAGUGUGAAAUGUCAGGGGUAAAAUAGUAAUUUGCCCAUUUAUGUGUUUUUGGACUAAAUUGAAUGAAAUUAUGGUUGAAUGAGUUUAAUUUGAAUAUGUUUAGAUCAAGAACCAAAGAAAUCGAAUUUAGAUCAGGGGAAAACUAAAGUUGUCGAUUAGUCGUCCCGUUCCGAUUAUCGUUGUUCGAGGUAAGUUUAUAGGCAAAUAGAUGUUGUAAAUUUCAAUAUAUGUAUAUUAUAAAUUCUGAAUUGAAUUGUUAUAAUUGUUUUGAGAAUGUGCCGAAAUGAUAUAUGUUUGAGAGAAAUGGUUGCGAGUUCGAUUCGAUCGUGUUACGACAUCUGAAAGCCCCGUAUAAGCCUUAAAAAUAGAUAGGAUAUAUAUGUCAUGACAUAGGAUUUCGAUAUGUGAUGUGCGAGUAAGACCAUGGCAUCGAUGUAUGUGUGCGAGUAAGACCACGUUUAAUACGUUGACAUUGAUAUGUGAUUUCGAUAUAUGUGUGCGAGUAAGGCCACGUUUAAUACGUUGGCAUUGAUAUGUGAUUUCGAUAUAUUAUGAGAGUAAGACCCUGUCUGGGACAGUGGCAUCGAUAUGUAAUUACAUGUAACACCACAUCUGGGAUGUUGGCAUUGUACGAUAUAUGUGAUUAUCCGAGUAUCCUAUUCAAUUCUGAAUGGUUCAACAGGCAAUGUUAAGUUGUGAUCUAAUAUGUAAAUCGAGCUGAAGUGAUCAGGUAUGAGAUAAUUGAUUCCUUAUUUGAAAUUAAGGUAAGUUGGUUAUUUGAUAUAUGAUACAAAUUAUACAUGAUGCUAAUGUAAAUAUAUGUGCAUUUGUGAAGUAUAUUCGGCCACAUGUUAUGUAUAAGUAUGUGAUAUUAAAGUUUGAUUCAAGAGUAUAUGCUUAUGAGUGUAUAUAUAUUCGGUUAUAUAAUGGUACUAUAGUUUUAAAAUUUUAUGUUAUUUUAAUAAUAGAUAUAUGCAUAUUCGGCCAAGUAAAAAUAAUAUAUGAAAGUAUAUGAUGUAUAUGAAAUUGUAAGCUUGAAAUUAAAUGUGAUUAUGAUAGCAUAAAUUGAGUUGAUAUUAUCAUUGAGUUAUUUAUUUGCUUAUGAUUUACUAAGCUAUGAUAGCUUACUGUGUGUAUGUUUGCCUCUGUUUUAUAGAUUUUGGAGUCUAGUUACGAGCUCGGGGAUCGUCAGCAAAGACUAUCACACUAUCGACUAUUUUUGGUACUUUAUAAGCUGAAUUUCGAAUCUGUGGCAUGUAUAGGCUAGAAUAUAUUUUGAUAUGUUGAUUUUGGUAUAUGUUUAUAUAUAAGCCAUGCGAAAAUGGAUUGUUUAUUUUGUUAAGUUCGGAUUCAAUUUUGAACAAAUUAUGGAUAUGUUUGGCUGUGGUUUUGAUGUUUCAACCAUUAUAUGUUUAUAUGUGUGAAUCAUGGUUAAUAUAUUUGCUAAUGGUGAUGAAGUUAUGCCAAAGUAUAUGUGUAUAGUAUAUUUCGUAUGAUGUGAAAUUGUGGUUGGAUAUUUUUGUUGAUGUGAUAUGCAUGAUUUAUAAGUGGGAUGUAUUAGGUAAAUGGCUAUGAUUUGAAUUAUUGGUAUUUGGUUAUGUGAUGAAGUAAAUAUGAAUAAUGAUUAUAAGUUUCUAAUCAUUAGUUAUAAAUGAUGUGCAUUCAUAUUCAGCUAAUGAUAGAUAAAUUAAAUAUGUCUGCAUAUAACAUUUUUGUCUGUGGAUUGAUAUUUAAAGCUCAAGAUGAUUAGUUUAAUGUUUGAUUCUUGUUAUAUGCAUAAAGUGUUAACGGUAAAUUAUAGAAGUAAUAUGGCUACUUUGAUUCGAUAUUUAUUAGUAAAUAAUGAAUAUGUAUGAGGUAUGUUUUGUUAGCUAAACGGAUAGUCAUUAAAGUGACAAGUUAAUAUUUGUAUUCGGAUAUGCAAAUGGUAAAUUUUAACUUAAGAUUGAAUGGUGGAAUUGGUAUGACUUUAAUGGUUAAUUUUGAUAGUCAAAUAGGUGAGUAAAUAAAUUGAUUAUGUAUUUGUAAUUUUGUCAUGAUGAUAGCAUAUAAAUUUUGGUAUGUUUCGAUUUGAUAGUUAUGCUUAGAAAUGGUUCGUAGAUUGUUUGAAAAUAUGAUGGUUAGACUAGCUAUUUAGCUUGUGUAAUAAGUGAUAUUAUCAUUUUUAAAUUUGACCAUGACACUUUAUAGCAUUAGACAAGAGUAUGUUAUGUUACAUGUAUAAAUACAAACUUGUGAUGGAUUUAAUGUGAAAUGCAAAUUAUGAUUGACAUAUUGGUUUGGUUAUAUGAAAUGUUAUAUGCGUAUAUAGUAAUAAAAAAAAUGAAAGUUGACAUUGAAUAAAGCAUGUAUUUAGCUUGUUUUAAUAUUCAGUUAUUGUAUUGGAAAUUGACCAUAUGAAUAGUAAUUCAUGUUAUAAGAUAAAAAAAUGGUUAUAUGUGAGUUUAAUAAAAUUGUUUUGUGCUUUGUGUAUUAAUGAUUUAAGAAUUAAUAAAAUGAAGUUACAAAAAUAUACCUUUGAAUAUGAUUUGAGUGAUUGUGUGAAUGUAUGAAAGUUGUAUCCUUUCCAGUAAUGCCUCGAAACCCCAUUUUGACCAUUUAAAACUUUAAAAAACUUUAAUCAUAUACUUUAGCUAAUAGAAAUUAAUAGAGAUUAAGUUUUACUUAAUGAACUAGUCAAAAGUCAAAAUUAUUGGACCAUACCUUAAUACAACACCUAAAUAACUUUCUAAAUAUUAAAUAAAUAAUAUUUACGAACUCAUGUAUGAAUUGUGGCCCCGAAACCACUGAAAAUGAGCUAUUACAAACAAGCUGAUGCGAUCAUGAUCCAAGACCCUUCCAAAGCUGCCGAGGAACCCAUGGAGUUACCAACUGUAACAUCUCUUAACCCGUAUCCGUCGCCAGAACAGGGUUAUGGAGCAUUACCAGAACUUUCAGAACAUAUUUCGGAUAAUUCAUGUAAAUUACUAUUCAUUAACUGAGAUUAUUCAUAUCGUCCCUUAAAUGGACCCUCGAGGUCCAAUACGAGCAUUAAAAUCAAGUCGGGACUUAAUCGAAAACUCUAAGAAUUUUUCGCGACAUUUCAAAAAUUUUCUAAGUUACGGGGCUCACACGCCCGUGUGGUCCAAGGGACAUGCCCGUGUGACCCUGGCACAUGCCCGUGCUGUAGGCCGUGUUCAACCCCGUGUAACUCUCUGACUUGCGCACACGACCAUGCUACUCACUCGUAUGCUAGGCCUUAUGGUUAAUUAAUUUUUUUGAAAUUAGGUGCAGGUUUCACACGGCCAAGACACAAGCCCGUGUUCUAGGCCGUGUAGCACACAUGGCUAAGACACACGCCCGUGUCUCUGCCUAUGUGCUCAAUUAUGAGCAUUUUGUUUUCUCAAAUUUAAGAUGCAAGAGACACACGGCCUAAUCACACAACUGUGUGUCUGCCCGUGUGGACAAAAUGAAGUCAUUUCUAGCUUCAUUUCUCACCCAAAAUCACACCAAUGACCUGCACUUAAACUCACAUAUAAAUACCAACCAUUUCGAGCAUUCAAAUUAAGCAAACUCUAUCAUUCAACAUGUCAUAUCAUUACAUGCAUACAUGUUUAUAAUCUUACCUUGGUAUAUUACAUAUGUUAGGCAUAAUUUGAUCAACCAUUUAACAUAUAUAUAGCUACCAUAGUAUGACUUUACAAGUAUAUCAAUAACAACCAUUACUAGCCAUUCCAAUGACUAGAUUACAAACCACAUAUUCAAGGUAUCUAUGGCCAGUUAGCCUAUACAUGUCAUUAUACCAAAAUAAUUUUACUAUAUAUACCCAAAAUAAGCUAGAGGGUAGUGUGAUGAUGCUCCAAUGACCUCCAGCUUUUGUGAGCUUCUGAGCACUAUAUAAUAGGGGAAAAUAAAACGAAGUAAGCAUUACAUGCUUAGUAAGUUUGUAUAACAGAAACUAAACUUACCAAACCCGUUUAUUAAAUCUAAGCAAACAAAAUCAUGUUUUCCAUCCAUUUGGGAAAAUUUCCUAAACACAUACAUUCAAUCAAACAUGUUAGUCACAAAAUCUUCACAUCAAUGAAGUAAACAUAGAUGAGUUCUUCAUACUAUUUUCCUUCAAGACAUCAUUCAUUUGAUUCCAUAAUUCUCUUAUCAUGCCAAAAGGUUUUGUAUCCGUUGAAUCAUUGAAAUUUCGAUGGAUACUCAAAUGGUACAUUAGAGGUGUACGAUUCAAUAACCCAUCAAUUCUUAUUCAAAAGUACCCAUAGGGCACUUAAUCAAAGAACAUACUCUCAAGCCACAUAACGCAUUACAAGAUUACCAGUCCAGGCUAAAUCCUUUUUGUAAUAUAUGCUCAGAAGAGUUCAAUUAGGAUUACCAGUCCAGGCUAAACCCUCAUUAUAACAUAUACUCGAGAGGUAUUAUAUUAGGAUUACCUGUCCGGGCUAAAUCCUUUCCAUAAUGAGUUCAAUAGGAUUACUCGUCGAAGUUAAAUCUCAUUUGCAACAAAUGCAAGACCUUAUUCAUUUUGGGAAAGCACAUAUAUUUAUCAAAAUUUAAUAUUCAAACGGAGCUUAACCCCUUUUCACCAUUACAAGCACGCAUUCAAUUUUUCAUCAUAGCAAUCAAAUAAAUCACAUCCAUAUAAGUUACAUUACAUACAAAAACAACAUUUAAUUAAUCAUAUUUACAUGUUUGAUUAAGUUACACGAACUUACCUCGACACUAGUUCGUGUAUAAAAUCUACUAAUCCGAAACAUUUUCUUUCCCUCGAUCUAAACUUGAAUUUGUGUAGUCCAGAUCUAUAUAAAUAACUCAAUCUACGUCCUAAGUAAAAUUACCAUUUUUCCCCUAACUUUUCCAUAAAUUCCAAUUUCAUCCCUAGGCUCGGAAAAUGAAAUUUAUGCAAUUUACUCCCUAAUCCAAGCCCAACCAAAAUUUCAAUACAAAAUUUACAACUUUCAUCAAUUUUCACAACUUUAUUAAAUUUACAACUUUCAUCAAUUUUCACAACUUUACAUUUUAGUCCCUAAAUCAUGUUUUCAUCAAAAAUCACUUUGUAAAAGUUGUUUAUCUAUCAACAACAUUUCAUUUUCUACCAUAAAUUUAUAAUUUUCAGCAUAUACAUCCAUGACCUAAUUUUCAUACUUUGAUAACUCUUCAAAUUGAUCCUCCAAAUAGAUAGAUUGAGCUAUCCCGAUUUUAAAAAUAUCAAAAUUAGUAAAAACGGGACAAUGAAACUUAUCCAGUUAAGCCAUGAAAGUUUUUUCUCUCUCUCCUAGGGUUUCCAUGUAUUUUAGGUUGAAGAUGACAUAAAAAUAAGAUGAUUCUUUUAUCAUCUUUUUAAUUAAUUAAAUAUUUUUCAAUUUUCAAUUUAGUCCUUGCCCUUUUUCUAUAUUUCCAUGGAUGAGCCACUAAAAUAUCUACAUAUUUUUCUUUAAUAGUCUAAUUACCAUAUAAGGACCUCUAAUUUUGAAUUUCAUAGCUAUUUAAUCCUUAUAGCUACUAAAAUUCAACUUUCGCAUGUUGUGCGAUUUAGUCCUUCUCGUAAUUAAGCACAUAAUCAAUAAAAUUUUCUUAUUAGAAUUUUCACAUGACAUUUCUAACAUAUUAUGAAUCAUUAAAUAAAAUAAAAAUAAUUUUUUUUUCGGAUCAAAUUUGUGGUCCUGAAACCACUGUUCUGAUUUCACUGAAAAAUGGGCUAUUACGCCAACGAGGCUGAUUACUCAAGCUCCAGUUAAGAGGUUUAAGGAAGCUAUUGUGGGCCUUUUUAAUCAAAUUUAGGGUGAAUCUGUUGCGAAAUCAUUGAUCAGUCAUGGACAUGCACUCCAUGCGUGCCAUGCAACUUGUUUCAAGCUCAACUUUAGCUUUCUUCAGCUUGUGAAUUUAUUUGUUGGAAUAAAGAAUUAAAUUUAGUUCUAGUUAUUUAGUUAAAAUUAGUUUGAGUCUUUAAUUAUUUCAUAAUUUGAAAAUUAUUUAUGAGUUUUAAUUAUGUCAUAAUCUAAACAUAUUUAGUAAGAGUUUUUAAUUAUGUCAUAGUUUAGGACAUCUUAAAUAUAUGUUUUAAAUAUGUCCUAGUUUAGACGUCUUUAAUUCAUGUCUUUAGUUCAGACAAAUUAAACUAUGUUUAAAUUGUGUUUAAUGUGUCUUAUAGGGUGUUCAAUGGAUGACAUUAAAGGGGGAAACAUACAUUUGGACGUGCAUGCAUGGGGGAGCUGUUGAUUGCUCUCUUCUAAGCAUCUUUUUUGUGGAAUGCAAUGGACACAAGUGUUUUCACACUUGCUCACACCAAGUGACCAUCCAAUUUUGGGUUUUCACAUCUAGAAGAGUAUUCAUGUGCCCUAUGCAACCCUAAAAGGGCGAUUACACAUUUGGCUUCCCAUGAAGGCAUUAGCCAUGUUCACACCAUCCAAAACCGAUCAUCUACUUGAACCAUCAGCUCAAAUUAAAGGCUACACAAUUUGGCUGUUUGGGAAGUGCAAAUGACAUGGCUGUUGGAGUCACCUAUGCAUGGGAAUCUUCAAAAGUCUUGUGGGAUAGCUUAAUGGUUAUUCAACUUAAUUAAGCUGAAUUAAAUUAGUCCAUUCGGCUGGACCUUUUUAGAAACUAUAAAUACUAAGCUUACAUCUUGUAUUUCAGACUUUUUGAACUUUUAAUGAAUUUUAAUCUACUUGUGAGUUGUUCAACUCUAUUUGUUCUUUUGUGACUCAAAUCGACUUAUCUAGCUAGUCUAGUGGUGUCAAUCUGAUUAUUUUGUGAACUUAUCACUUUAACAAGUGUGGCAUUCAAUCUAUACUGUUUGGUUCCUAUCUCACAUAUAUAGUGGGUCAUGGUUUAUCUAUCUUUUCUACCUUAAGUGUUGACAUAAGAUUCGGGUCAAUAUUGAACUAUAAUAUUGGUUCACUCUUCAACCUUCAGAACCUAUUCCAUCUAUUUCCCAUUUACGAAACACCACCUUUUGAUAUUUUAAACCAACUACCUUCAAUUUCAGCCUUUCGACGGACUAGUCUGAGUACCACAUAAUUUUAUGAUCGGGAACACAAGCGGCUCCGUCCAAUGAGUAUGGGAUCACAUCAUUUGGUAUCAGAGCUGGUUAAAAUUAAGUAAGUAUUGAUGUUCUAGUAUUCCCGGGGUAGAGAUUUAAAAAAAUUCGUAAAAAAAUUGUGUAGAAAUUUGAAGUACAAAAGUUUUAAAAAUAUUAAAAAAAGAUUCAAAUUAAAAAAAAGAGAAGAGAAAAAGGCUAGUUUUGAAAGUGUUUAUGUUUUUCGAGCUCAAAGUUUUCCUUUACCAAACGUUUUUAGCCACACUUCAAGUACCAUUUGUUUUCUUUUAACCUACCUUAUUACCCAAUAACAACUGUAACACCCCUUACCCAUUCUCGAGACCGGGACUAGGUACGAGGCGUUACUAGGCAUGUACUUGAACAUUGUUAGAAAAUACGGGUUAUAAAAUUUCACUCCAAAUUUAAAACCAAUCAGACAACAUCUUAGUGUCCUUGUUAUGGGCCUACGAGACCUAAACAUACAUUAAGAAAGGUCCGAGAUUAAACCGAGAACUUAAGAAAGUUUCUCGAAAAUUUUCUAAGUUAAGCCUCACACGCCCGUAUAGAGGCAAUGCACACACCCGUGUGCUUUGGGACACUCCCGUGUCCCCUUCCCGUGUGGAAUUUAUUGAAUUUAUUUUCUAUUUCGAACCUACAGGGGUUUUCACACGGCCGAGCACAUGCCCGUGUCCCUAGCCCAUGUCCCUCAGACAGCCUAAACACGCCCCUGUGAUCGCCCGUGUCCAAGAACUCGAGCAUUUUUUUAUGACAUCAGCAUGCAUUUAAGGGCACACGGCCAAGACACACGCCCGUGUGCUAGGUUGUGCCCUCCACACGGUUGAGACACAUUGUCGUGUCUCUACCUGUGUGUUUACUAUCGUGCAUUCUAACUUAAAAUUUUUAGGUAUAAGAGACAUAUGGCCAUAUCACACACCCAUAGGGCGGUCCGUGUGUCACACACGCCCGUGUGUCCACCCGUGUGGACCUUAUUAGGCUACGUUUCAAGCCUUUGGUCACCCUCUAUCAUCCCCAUACUCUUAUAGAUUACCAUAAUACAUAACAAGGCCUAAUUAUACAUCCCAAAUGACCUUGAUAUACCUCAUUGCAUAUAAACCUCAUUUCAUUGGUUUUAUACAUGCUAGGUUAUUCCCAUUUUGUAUUAAGGGUUUCUAUGUCUUAUAACACAAUUAAAAUUGACUCAUUAUCUUAACUCAUUGCCAUUAUAACCUAGCCAUCCCUUGUGAUUUGGUCACAUUACAUAUACUUAAUUGUAAUAUGCCAUAUUUAACUAUCACAAGAACAUUUGGACAUAAACAUGCACAAAUUUGUAGGUCAUAACCUACAUCAAAAUGAACUAAUUUCCAUGGCAAUAAACAAGUGGACACGUAUACUUUUAAAAGCUUUCAUAUUGGCUAAUCAAAUGACACAUAUAACAAAAUAAAAAAAGCCCUAUACAUGCCAUUGAACAAAAUAAAAGUAUUUAUAUACAAAAGCUAGACAAGAUGAUCGUGUGUUGAUUCUCCAAUCGUUUCCAACCUCUACGAGUCCUCGAGCUCUGUAAGACAGGGAAAAGAGAGGGGUAAGCAUUUACAUGCUUAGUAAGCCCGAAUAACUGGAAAGUAAACUUCCUGAUUAAUUAGCAUACAUGCAUAUUAGGCAAUAAAACCAACAAGCAUGAAAUAUUUUCCCUAUCACAUGCACUCAAUUAACAAGUUAGUCCCAUAACAAUACACCAUGUAAUUUGUCUUAGAUGAGCUCAUCAUCCAACAUUUUCAUUUUUACAUCUCAUGUUAAUCUUGUUGAGUUUCUCAGAAAUCUUGAUGAAUUAUCCAUUUAUCGUCAAGUCAGAAGAGCGAUCAUCUCAUGUACGCACUCCUGCGAACCUCACAUCUUAUAGCGGGAUUACCAGUCCAGGCUAAAUCCCUCGCAAUGUAAACUCAUAGGGUGAUGUCGGGAUUAGCAGUCCAAGCUAAAUCCCUUAUAGCGAGAAACACCCUUAAUGAGCUUGGAUCUGAAUUACCAAUCCAGGCUAAAUUCAAACCCUAAUCGGAUUACUCAUCCGGGCUAAAUCCACAAUGCACACAUAUUCUUCGGGAGGCUCAAUCACUCAAGGAACACCCGUCCAGGCUAGAUCCUUUUUAUAUUUGAGAUCAACGGAUUACCCAUCUAGGCUAAAUCCUUUUCUGCAACACAUGCAUGAUCUCGAGUCAUGUAAGCCAUGGUUUAUCCAUUAAAUUUCCCUUUUUACUUCAAUCGGGACAUUUAUUAUCAUAUCAUUAUUAUUAACAUAUUUCAUGGAUUUUCAUGCAUCAUUAUAACCAAAUAUCAUGCAUUCAUAACACAUGUAAUUAGGCAUAUUAAUAGUUUACUGAAAGUUAUUCGAACUUACCUGGUACUUGUUUCGAUUUUGCGUCUCGGUUAUUCCGAAACCUUUUGUUUUCCUCGAUCGACCUCUGGAGUUUGUUCCUCGAGAUCUAUAACAAUAAAAAUGAAUUAUUAAUACCUUACAGUAUACUUUUCGAGUCUAAAUUUCACCACCGGAAAAAAUGAAUUAUUAAUACAUUACAUAUACUUAAUUGUAAUAUGCCAUAUUUAACUAUCACAAGAACAUUUGGACAUAAACAUGCACAAAUUUGUAGGUCAUAACCUACAUCAAAAUGAACCAAUUUCCAUGGCAAUAAACAAGUGGACACGUAUACUUUUAAAAGCUUUCAUAUUGGCUAAUCAAAUGACACAUAUAACAAAAUAACAAAAGCCCUAUACAUGCCAUUGAACAAAAUAAAAGUAUUUAUAUACCAAAGCUAGACAAGAUGAUCGUGUGUUGAUUCUCCAAUCGUUUCCAACCUCUACGAGUCCUCGAGCUCUGUAAGACAGGGAAAAGAGAGGGGUAAGCAUUUACAUGCUUAGUAAGCCCGAAUAACUGGAAAGUAAACUUCCUGAUUAAUUAGCAUACAUGCAUAUUAGGCAAUAAAACCAACAAGCAUGAAAUAUUUUCCCUAUCACAUGCACUCAAUUAACAAGUUAGUCCCAUAACAAUACACCAUGUAAUUUGUCUUAGAUGAGCUCAUCAUCCAACAUUUUCAUUUUUACAUCUCAUGUUAAUCUUGUUGAGUUUCUCAGAAAUCUUGAUGAAUUAUCCAUUUAUCGUCAAGUCAGAAGAGCGAUCAUCUCAUGUACGCACUCCUGCGAACCUCACAUCUUAUAGCGGGAUUACCAGUCCAGGCUAAAUCCCUCGCAAUGUAAACUCAUAGGGUGAUGUCGGGAUUAGCAGUCCAAGCUAAAUCCCUUAUAGCGACAAACACCCUUAAUGAGCUUGGAUCUAAAUUACCAAUCCAGGCUAAAUUCAAACCCUAAUCGGAUUACUCGUCCGGGCUAAAUCCACAAUGCACACAUAUUCUUCGGGAGGCUCAAUCACUCAAGGAACACCCAUCCAGGCUAGAUCCUUUUUAUAUUUGAGAUCAACGGAUUACCCAUCUAGGCUAAAUCCUUUUCUGCAACACAUGCAUGAUCUCGAGUCAUGUAAGCCAUGGUUUAUCCAUUAAAUUUCCCUUUUUACUUCAAUCGGGACAUUUAUUAUCAUAUCAUUAUUAUUAACAUAUUUCAUGAAUUUUCAUGCCAUCAUUAUAACCAAAUAUCAUGCAUUCAUAACACAUGUAAUUAGGCAUAUUAAUAGUUUACUGAAAGUUAUUCGAACUUACCUGGUACUUGUUUCGAUUUUGCGUCUCGGUUAUUCCGAAACCUUUUGUUUUCCUCGAUCGACCUCUGGAGUUUGUUCCUCGAGAUCUAUAACAAUAAAAAUGAAUUAUUAAUACCUUACAGUAUACUUUUCGAGUCUAAAUUUCACCACCGGAAAAAAUGAAUUAUUAAUACAUUACAUAUACUUAAUUGUAAUGUGCCAUAUUUAACUAUCACAAGAACAUUUGGACAUAAACAUGCACAAAUUUGUAGGUCAUAACCUACAUCAAAAUGAACCAAUUUCCAUGGCAAUAAACAAGUGGACACGUAUACUUUUAAAAGCUUUCAUAUUGGCUAAUCAAAUGACACAUAUAACAAAAUAACAAAAGCCCUAUACAUGCCAUUGAACAAAAUAAAAGUAUUUAUAUACCAAAGCUAGACAAGAUGAUCGUGUGUUGAUUCUCCAAUCGUUUCCAACCUCUACGAGUCCUCGAGCUCUGUAAGACAGGGAAAAGAGAGGGGUAAGCAUUUACAUGCUUAGUAAGCCCGAAUAACUGGAAAGUAAACUUCCUGAUUAAUUAGCAUACAUGCAUAUUAGGCAAUAAAACCAACAAGCAUGAAAUAUUUUCCCUAUCACAUGCACUCAAUUAACAAGUUAGUCCCAUAACAAUACACCAUGUAAUUUGUCUUAGAUGAGCUCAUCAUCCAACAUUUUCAUUUUUACAUCUCAUGUUAAUCUUGUUGAGUUUCUCAAAAAUCUUGAUGAAUUAUCCAUUUAUCGUCAAGUCAGAAGAGUGAUCAUCUCAUGUACGCACUCCUGCGAACCUCACAUCUUACAGCGGGAUUACCAGUCCAGGCUAAAUCCCUCGCAAUGUAAACUCAUAGGGUGAUGUCGGGAUUAGCAGUCCAAGCUAAAUCCCUUAUAGCGAGAAACACCCUUAAUGAGCUUGGAUCUGAAUUACCAAUCCAGGCUAAAUUCAAACCCUAAUCGGAUUACUCGUCCGGGCUAAAUCCACAAUGCACACAUAUUCUUCGGGAGGCUCAAUCACUCAAGGAACACCCGUCCAGGCUAGAUCCUUUUUAUAUUUGAGAUCAACGGAUUACCCAUCUAGGCUAAAUCCUUUUCUGCAACACAUGCAUGAUCUCGAGUCAUGUAAGCCAUGGUUUAUCCAUUAAAUUUCCCUUUUUACUUCAAUCGGGACAUUUAUUAUCAUAUCAUUAUUAUUAACAUAUUUCAUGGAUUUUCAUGCCAUCAUUAUAACCAAAUAUCAUGCAUUCAUAACACAUGUAAUUAGGCAUAUUAAUAGUUUACUGAAAGUUAUUCGAACUUACCUGUACUCGUUUCGAUUUUGCGUCUCGGUUAUUCCGAAACCUUUUGUUUUCCUCGAUCGACCUCUGGAGUUUGUUCCUCGAGAUCUAUAAUAAUAAAAAUGAAUUAUUAAUACCUUACAGUAUACUUUUCGAGUCUAAAUUUCACCACCGGAAAAAAUGACCAUUUUGCCCCUAACCUUUCACAUUAUUUACGAUUUAGUCCCUAGGCUCGUAUGAUGAAAUGCAUGAAUUUUCUACAUUACCCAAGCCUAUCCGAAUGUUCUUUUCUCUUAUGGCAGCCCACAUUUUUCCAUUAUUACACAUUUCUACCACAUAUUUUACACAUAGAAAAAUAUGUUUAACACACCUCCAACUUUCAUAUUCCUCCUUAAAACAUCAAAGAAUAAACAUGUCACACAUGGGUCACUUUGCAAACAUCAACCCUAACUCAAAAUAUGGGUAGAAAUGGAGAGAGUAAGCUACCGGCAUUUUAAAAAUACGAAGAACAUUAAAAACGGGGCUAGGGAGCAUUUACUAUUGAGCUUGAAAAGUGAAGAAACCCUAGCUAUGGAGGCUCUCAAAUUUUGGCAGCAAGGUGGAGAAGAUGAGCUGAUUUUUGUCUUCAUUUUCCCAUUUUAUUUCAUUAAUUAGCCAAAUGACCAAAAUGCCCUUAGGGCUUCUUUGAAAUUUUAUCUAUACAUGCCCAUUUUUGUCCAAAAACUUAGAAAUUAAGUAAAUUGUUCUUUAAGACCUUCUAAUUAAUAAUAUAAAGCAAUUUCAUACAAAUUGCUUCUAGAAUCCAAGUUUUGCAAUUUAUUCAAUUUGGUCAUUAUUUUCCAAUUGGACACCUUACUCAUAGAAUUUCUUCAUGAAACUUUAGCACAUGCAUAUUUUCAUAUUCUAGACCUCAUAAUAAUCAUAAAACAAAUAUUUCAAUGUCGGAUUUGUAGUCCCAAAACCAUUGUUCCGAGUAGGCCCUAUUUUAGGAUGUUACAUUUCUCCCCCUUUAGAGACUUUCGUCCUCGAAAGUGUUACCAGUAAACAGGUUCGGAUAUUGGCUUCUCAUGGUUUCUUCCGGCUCCCAUGUUGCCUCUUCCACACCAUGUCGAUGCCAUAAGACUUUUACUAGGGCCACAUCUUUAUUUCUCAGCUGUUUAACCACACGGGCCAAAAUCUUAACCGGUUUCUCACCAUUAGUCAUGUUCGAUCUAAUUUCAAUCUCUGUCGGUGAAAUCACAUGAGAGGGAUCUGAUCGAUAUCACUUUAACAUAGAUACAUGGAACACAUCAUGAAUCUUUUCCAGUUCUGGUGGCAAUGCCAAGCGAUACGGUAAUGGUCCAACUCUUUCAGUGAUCUCGUAUGGUCCGAUAAAUCGCGGACUCAGUUUGCCUUUCCGGCCAAAUCUCAAUACCUUUUUCCAUGGAUAUACUUUCAAGAAUAAUCUAUCUCCCAUUUGAAAUUUGAUUUCUUUUCUUUUCAGAUCAGCAUAUGACUUUUUCCUAUCUGAUGCCGCUUUUAAGCAGUCAUGUAUCAUUUUAGCAUUUUCUUCAGUUUCCUUGAUCAGAUCAACUCCGUGAAUCUGAGUUUCCUUGAGUUCUGUCCAAUACAAUGGAGUUCGUCACUUUCUGCCAUACAAGGCGUCAUAAGGUGCCGUCUUCAAACUCGUUUGAAAACUGUUGUUGUAGGCGAACUCUACCAAUUGCAGGUAUUUUUCCCAGCUACCCUGAAAUUCGAGGAUGCAACAUCGCAACAUAUCCUCAAGAAUCUAAAUCAUCCGUUCAGACUGACCAUCAGUCUGUGGGUGAAAAGUUGUGCUAAAACUCAACCUAGUACCCGAGGCUUCUUGUAACUUCUUCCAGAAUCUCAAAGUGAAUCUUGGGUUUUUAUUUGAAAUAAUCGAUAGCGGUACACCGUGUAAUCUCACGAUCUCAGAUAUAUACAAGUCAGCCAACUUUUCAAGUGAAUAAUUUGUCCUCACCGGGAUAAAAUAAGCUGACUUUGUCAACUUAUAAACCACAACCCAUAUAGAAUCUUUCUUUUUCAGGGUCAAUGGUAAUCCUGUCACGAAGUCCAUAAUGAUUCUGUCCCACUUCCAUUCGAGGACUAUCACAGGCUGUAGUAAACCUGAAGGUACUUGAUGUUCUGUCUUGACUUGCUGGCAUAUCAAGCAUUUCGAUACAAAUUCAGAGAUGUCUCUUUUCAUGCCGUUCCACCAGUACAUUUUCUUUAAAUCAUUAUACAUUUUGGUACUUCCAGGAUGAAUAGACAAACGGCUAUCAUGUUGUAACAGCCUAAUUUUCAGUGGUAUCGGGAAUAGAGAUUUGAGAUCACCAAAUCCGACGGGUGAGUUAAAAAUUUAAUAAAUUAAUACCUCUGAGUCAAAUGCACAUAUAAAAGCAUUUUUGAAUUAGUGAAUUUGGUGAUUUAAAAGAAAUAAUUAGGUAAAUAUGGUCGAGAAUGAGGUAUUGAGACCUCAACUUCAUAAAUCGAGCCAUAAAUAUUUUUAGAACUAUUUAUGGAGUGUUGGUGAGGUAGUAUUAAAAUUUAGUCAGAAAAUUUUUACGUUUGGGUGGUUAAUUAAAUAAAAAGGACUAAAUUGAAAAGGGUGUAAAAGUUGCUAGAAGAAUUAAAUAGCUCAAUUGUCAAAUGAGGAAGGACCUAAAGUGAAAAUAGUCCUAAAGGAGAUAUUUUGGGCGGCAAUAGCUGAGAAAAAUCAGGAAAUGGAUGAAAUAAGGGUAAAAUUGGAAAAUUGCCAAAAUUGGCUAAAUAAAAAUGGGACUAAAUUGGAAUAUCUAGAAUUCUCUUCAUUUCUCUUCAUAUUCAUCAUCUGAAAAACAGCCAUGGAGGAGGGUUCAAGCUGGUUUUCAUACUCUAGCUUCAUGUAAGUUUAAUUCUUGCUUUCUCCUUGAAAUUUUUAUGUUUUUGUGACUUUUACAACUAGGUCCACUUGUUGAAUUCAUUAGUUUUUGAUUCUAUGAAAGAAAUUAAAAGUUGUUAUGAAUAUGUGCUGGAAGUAUAUGAUGAUUUGGCAUGGAAUUGGAGCUUUAAAUUAUUUAUAUGCUGAUUUUAUUGAAAGAAUUGAAUAGAAAGUGAAUGUUUGGGACCUAAUUGUAAAAGAGUUUGAAGUUAAAGUUUCAUAUGGAAAUUCUGAAUUUCAAUAGUUAUGAAAUAACUUAUAAUGUCUAGAAAAAGUUUUAAUUGAGAAAAUUAUCUUAAUUGAUGGGUUAAUUGAGUAAGGACUGAAUUGUAUGAAUUGUGAAAUUUGGGGUAAAAUGGAAAUAAACAUUUUGCACUAAAAAUGUUUUAGACAGCAGCAGUAGUCUAACUUUGAAAAAUCACUAAAAAUUAUAUAAAUCGAAUUAGAGGAUGAAUAAAAUAUGAAAUUAAAUCUUAUUGAGUCUAGUUUCUUAUAAAAGAAAUUAUGUAAGCAAUGGAAUCGUAAAUCAUCAGAUACAAUAACUUUUGUGAGACAAGGUCAGAAUGAUUUCGAGUUCCCCUGUUCUGACUUUGGAAAAUCAUAAAAAAUUGGAUAAAAAUAAUUAUGGGCUUAAAUUUAUAUGUUUAGAAUCCUGAAUGAGUCUAUUUUCAAGAAAAACAAACGAGGACAUCAUUCAAAUCCUGUACAAGAAGAUAAUUAAUUUUUAGUGAAGAAAGGUCGGAACUAUCAGACAGCAGAACAGGGGAGACUUAAAUGAAUAAACUGUAUUAAUUGGCCCAACAAAAAAUUAUGAAAUUUUUAUGGUAAUAAUGUAUAUGAGUCUAGUUUCAGAUAAAAUUAGCGGAUCUUAAUUUGGAGUUCUGUAGCUCAAGAUAAAAAUAAUUUAGUGACUAUGACACAGAUGGAUAGCUUGAAUAUUCACAUAAGUAGAUAAUGAAAAUUAUGGAUAAUGUUACUUACAAGUGUGUUGUUUAUACUAAAGAUGUGGAUGGAGAGGAGGAGGAGGAAAAAUAUACAUAUAUAUGAAUGACUCGUGUAUAAAUUGAUCACAUGCCCGGUUAUAAUCGAUGAGUGUUGGAUUAGAAAUGAUAUAAUGUUUUAUUUGGAAUAUAUAUUAUGGAAUUAUGAUUAUCGUUAUAAUACAAAAAUUGAACUUGUGAAUUUAUAUGGCUAAAUUUUAGUGAUUAUUUGUUAAUUUUAUGAAUUUUAUGAUGAGUUAUUUCAUAUGUAUUGAUGAUAAAAUCGUGAAUAAUGUAAAAGCAUGAAAAUUGAAUAAAUGAUCAAAUUGAGCAUUUCAGUUCAGUGACAAGAUGAAUUGAAGGAAAAGACCAUGGUUGGACCAUGGAAACAAGUGAUAAGUGAUAGCUUUGGCUACACUUAUCUGAUCAAGGACAAAUGAAAGUGAUAAGUAAUAACUUUGGCUACACUUAUCUGAUUAAGGACAAGUGAAAGUGAUAAGUGAUAGCUUCGGCUACACUUAUCUGAUCAAUGGCAAAUGACAACUGAAAAGUGGUAGCUUCAGCUACCUGAUCAGUGAAAAGUGGUAGUUUCAGCUACCUGAUCAGUGAAAAGUGGUAGCUUCUGCUACCUAAUCAGUGAAAAGUGGUAGCUUCGGCUACCUAAUCAGUGAAAAGUGGUAGUUCCGGCUACCUGAUCAGUGAAAAAUGGUAGCACCAGCUACCUGAUCAGUGAAUAGUGGUAGCUUUGGCUACAAGUGACAAGUGACAAGCGAUUUCUGUAUAAGACCAUAUCUGGGAUAUGGUAUCGGUGUGAUAUAUGCUACUGUAUAAGACCAUAUCUGGGAUAUGACAUCAGUGAGAUGUGAUUACGUGUAAGACCAUAGCUGGGCUAUGGCAUCAUUAUGUAAAGAUGUGUAAGACCAUAGUUGAACUAUAGCAUCGAAAAAAAAAAACAAAAUACUCAAUUCCGUAAGAUGUUCACUAAUUUGAAGAAGUUUGGUAAGUAUUACAUGGAAUUAUGUGACAUAAGGAAAUACGAGUUGAUGAGACAUGAGCAUAAAACUUGGUUGAUGGAUGAAUUCAUUUGUGAUUAUAUAUUUCUACGCCUUAAGUGUAUUAUCCGUAUGAAUUGGUAUUCCAAAUGGGUUAAUGAGAAAACUUCUAGUAUGAAAUAAUCUGAGUUCGAAAUGAAAUAUCAUGAAAACGUACUUGAAAUACAUUGGUAUGUAUUGUAUAUGCUAUUUGAAUUCAUAAAUGUGGAAAUAAAAUGUAUGUGGAAAUAUAAGAUGAUGAUAUUUGUACAUGGAAUUUAUUGAUGAAUACGUACAUCAAAAUUUAUAUGAUAAAUUUUAGUGAACAUUGAAAUUGGGCUAAAUAAGUGAUUUGGCAAUUUAAAUCGUAAUUGGUAGGAAGAGUUAGUGAAUUGCAUAUUUAUGAAUUGUUACACAUAUUUGUCUGAAAUACGAGGAAGUGAUGGUAAUUGAUACAUGGAAAUAUGAAACUAUGAUAUAUAUAUAAAAACAUGGAAUAUGUUUAAUAAAUGUGUUCAUUCAUAAUUAUAGAAUUAUGUACCUCAUGUGUGCUAUUUGCAUAAAGAUGAUAUUUCAAAUACUUUAGUGAAUAAAGCUUAAAUAUGAAAUAGCAUGAAAUCGAAACAAAUUGUUAUGAAAAUGUAUUUAAAUUAUCUGUAAGUGUUUCGUGCUUCUCGGUAAUGCCUCGUACUCUAUUCCGGCGACAGAUACGGGUAGGGGGUGUUACACAUGUGCCUCUUGCAAGAUUUUCUGAAUAAUUUCAUUGUUCCUCAGUACCCAAACUCUGUCUUUGAACAUCAAACAUCCAUCAGAUCUGAUCUGAAAAUCUGAUUCAAUACCCGCCUCAUAUUGAGUUCUUUUGGCUUGCAGGUCACUAUCAUUAGUUUGAGUAUCACAAAUUUCCUGAAGAAAUGUUGGCUUAGCCCUUAGCUCUGCCAAAACCAAACCAUCAUCAAACAACGCCAAUCGAGCAUUCAUGGCCCUCAAUGCAAACAAAGAUUUUCUGCUUAAAGCGUCGGCGACCACAUUUGCCUUUCCCAGAUGAUAAUCGAUGAUCAGCUCAUAAUCUUUAAUUAAUUCUAACCAUCUCCGUUGUCUCAGAUUGAAUUCUUUUUGAGUCAUCAAAUACUUCAAACUCUUGUGGUCUGUGAAUAUACGACAAGUUUUACCAUAUAAAUAAUGCCUCCAAAUUUUCAAGGUAAAAACAAUGGCAGCAAGCUCUAAGUCGUGCGUCAGAUAAUUCUUCUCGUGUUGCUUCAAUUGGCGUGAAGCAUAGGCUAUCACUUUGCCAUCUUGCAUAAGCACACAGCCUAGUCCAUUUAAAGACGCAUCGUUGUAGACUAAAACUCUUUUCCUGACUCGGGUAAUACUAGAACUAGAGUAUCAGUCAGCAAUGUCUUCAACUUCUCGAAACUCUGCGAUACUUUUCUGUCCAUUCAAACUUAACGUCUUUCUGUAACAACCUCGUCAUUGGAGUUACUAUUAUGGAAAAUCCUUUCAAAAAUAUUCGGUAGUAACCGACUAAUCCCAAAAAGCUUCUAACCUCGGUUACAUUUUUAGGUGGUUUCUAUUCAACAAUAGCAGAGAUCUUACUUGGAUCAACUCGGAUGCCAUCACCCGAAACAAUAUGACCUAAGAACCCUACUUCUUGGAGCCAAAAUUCACUCUUGCUAAACUUAGCAUACAAUUACUUUUCCCGUAAGGUCUACAACACAGUCUUCAAAUGCUUCGCUUGGUCUGUCUCAUCCUUAGAAUAAAUCAAAAUGUCGUCAAUGAAAACAACAGCAAACUUGUCCAAGUAUGGCCGAACUAUACUAUUCAUUAGGUCCAUAAAUAUGGUCAGUGCAUUCAUUAACCCAAACGGCAUGACAGAAAUUCAUAGUGGCCUUACCUCGUUCUGAAAGCUAUCUUAGGCAUGUUCGCCUCUUUAACUCGUAACUGAUAGUAGCCAGAUCUCAGGUCUAUCUUAGAGAAUACAGUGGCUCCCCUCAACUGGUCGAACAAAUCAUUGACCCUUGGCAAAGGAUACUUAUUCUUAAUAGUUACCUUGUUCAGUUGCUGAUAAUCUAUACAUAGUCUCAUCGAACCAUCUUUCUUCUUUACAAAUAAUACGGGAGCACCCUAAGGCGAAAAGCUUGGCCUUGCAAAACCUUUAUCCGUCAGCUCUUGCAACUGUGUUUUUAAUUCUUUUAGCUCGGUUGGUGCCAUCCUGUACGGAGCAAUAGAAAUAAGAGCUAUUCCUAGCACCAGUUCAAUACCAAACUCUAUCUCUCUAUCAGGAGGUAAUCCGGGUAGUUCCUCCGAGAAUAUGUCUGGAUAUUCACAUACUAUUGGUACGGACUCAAUCUUAUACUCUGUUUCCUUAGUGUUUAGUACAAAAGCAAGGUAGGCUUCGUACCAUUUUCUCAUAUAUCUUUGAGCAGCUAUUGAUGUAAUUACAACCGGCAGUGUAUCCUAUUCUCUUGAAUCAACCCUUAGAAUCUCAUUAUCUGGGCACUUCAGUUCAAUAUACUUACUACCAUAGUUUACUAUUACAUCAUGCAGGGCUAACCAAUCCAUACCAAGUAUUAAAUCAAACUCAUUAAAUAGCAGUAACAUAAGGUUAGCCAGAAAACAAUGACCCUGAAUCGUCAAAAGUAAACUCUUACAGACUUUAUCAACCAGGACUGACUUGCCUAAUGGGUUCGACACUUUAAUAAUAAAUUUCGUAGGUUCAAUGGAAAUAUUCAUGCUAGACACCAAUCUCAUGCAAAUGUAUAAAUGCGUCGAUUCGGGAUCAAUUAAGGCAACAGCACAAGUAUUAAAAAGAGAAAAGGUACCCAUAAUGAUGUCAAGAGCAGAGGCUUCCUCUCAAGCGCGUAUUGCAUACGUUCUUGCCGGGGCUCGAGCCUCUGAAUUCGCAGUGUCUUUGGCUAUAACCCGACUGCCACUAGCACUUUCAGGAUAUCACGGAAGUCUACCUCGUGAAUUAGGAGCACUCGAAUUCGGGGCUACUUCCACCUCUUUAUCGAUUCGCUCUGGCAGUCUCUGAGGUAGUGGUCAAGAGAAUCACAUCUAUAGCACACACCGUUCUUUAUUCGGCACUCUUCGAAGUGAAAUUUAUUCCAACUUUUACACUUCGGCCUUCAGACAUAGGCCUUCUACUACUACUAGAAACAGCUCGUUGUACGGAAGCUGGAGCAUGGCUCUCGGCUCUUUCAAACUUAUCUUGUGCUUGAUUAGAAGACAUUUACUAUAUUCAAAGAUAAUUAAACAGUGAGAAGAUAUCACACUAUCAACGUUCAUAUAAUGGCAUGCAUAGAAAAACUUGAUGCAUUCUACGGUAGUCCUAGAACCGACUAAACUGUAGCUCUGAUACCACUAAAAGUAAUACCCCUUACCAAUUCCUGAGAUCGAGACCAGGUACGAGGCAUUACCAGGUAUGUACUCGAACAUUUUUAGGAAAUACGGGAUAUAAAAUUUUGUUCCAAAUUUAAAACCACUCAGACAACAUCUUAGUGUCCUUAUUAUGGGCCUACAAGACCUAAAAAUACAUUAAGAACAGUCCGAGAUUAAACCAAGAACUUAAGAAAGUUCUUGAAAAAUUUUCUAGGUUAAGCCUCAAAAGCCCGUGUGGAGUCAAUGCACAAGCCCAUGUACUUUGGGACACGCCUGUGUCCCCUACCCAUGUGGAAUUUAUUGAGUUUAUUUUCUAUUUCGAAAAUACAAAGGUUUUCACACGACCGAGCACACGCCCGUGUCCCUAGCCCGUGUCCCUCAAAUGGCCUAGAAACGCCCGUGUGAUCACCCUGUCCAAGAACUCGAGCAUUCUGUUUAUGACAUCAGCAUGCAUUUAAGGGCACACGGCCAAGAUACACGCCCGUGUACUAAGUUGUGCCUUCCAUACAGUUGAGACACACGGUCGUGUCUCUACCCGCGUGUUUACUACCAUGCAUUCUGACUUAAAAUUUUUAGGUACAGGGGACACACAGCCAUAUCACACGCCUAUGGGGCCGUCCGUGUGUCACAUACGGCCUAGAAACACGCCUGUGCGUCCACUCGUGUGGACCUUAUUAGGCUAUUUUUCAAGCCUUUGGUCACCCUCUAUCAUCCCCAUACUCUUAUAGAUUACCAUAAUACAUAACAAGGCCUAAUUAUACAUCCCAAAUGAUUUUGAUAUACCUCAUUGCUUGUAAACCUCAUCUCAUCGUUUUAUACAUGCUAGGUUAUUCCCAUUUUGUAUUAAGGGUUUCUAUGUCUUAUAACACAAUUAAAAUUGGCUAAUUAUCUUAACUCAUUACCAAUUAUAACCUAGCCGUCCCUUGUGAUUUGGUCACAUUACAUAUACUUAAUUGUGAUAUGCCAUAUUUAAUUAUCACAAGAAUAUUUGGACAUAAACAUGCUCAAAUUUGUAGGUCAUAACCUACAUCAAAAUGAGCCAAUUUCCAUGGCCAUAUACAAGUGAACACAUAUACUUUUAAAAGCUUUCAUAUUGGCUAAUCAAAUGACACAUAUAACAAAAUAACAAAAGCCCUAUACAUGCCAUUGAACCAAAUAAAAGUAUUUAUAUACCAAAGCUACACAAGAUAAUAGUGUGUUGAUUCUCUAACCGUCUUCCAACCUUUACGAGUCCUCGAGCUCUGUAAGACAGGGAAAAGAGAGGGGUAAGCAUUUACAUGCUUAAUAAGCCUGAAUAACUGGAAAGUAAACUUACUGAUUAAUUAGCAUACAUCCGUAUUAUGCAAUAAAACCAACAAGCAUGAAAUAGUUUCCCUAUCACAUGCACUCAAUCAACAAGUUAGUCCUAGAACAAUACACAAUGUAAUUUGUCUUAGAUGAGCUCAUCACCUAACAUUUUCAUUUUUACAUCUCAUGUUAAUCCCGUUGAGCUUCUCGAAAAUCUAGCUAAAUUAUCCAUUUAUCGUCAAGUCAUAAGAGCGAUCAUCUCAAGUACGCACUCUUGCGAACCCCACAUCUUACGGCAGGAUUACUAGUCUAGGCUAAAUCCCCCGCAAUGUAAACUCAUAGGGUGAUGUCGGGAUUAGCAGUCCAAGCUAAAUCCCUUAUAGCGACAAACACCCUUAAUGAGCUUGGAUCUGAAUUACCAAUCCAGGCUAAAUUCAAACCCUAAUCGGAUUACUCGUCCGGGCUAAAUCCACAAUGCACACAUAUUCUUCGGGAGGCUCAAUCACUCAAGGAACACCCGUCCAGGCUAGAUCCUUUUUAUAUUUGAGAUCAACGGAUUAUCUGUCUGGGCUAAAUCCUUUUCUGCAACACAUGCAUGAUCUCGACUCAUGUAAGCCAUGGUUUAUCCAUUAAAUUUCCCUUUUUACUUCAAUCGGGACAUUUAUUAUCAUAUCAUUAUUAUUAACAUAUUUCAUGGAUUUUCAUGCCAUCAUUAUAACCAAAUAUAAUGCAUUCAUAACACAUGUAAUUAGGCAUAUUAAUAGUUUACUGAAAGUUAUUCGAACUUACCUAAUACUCGUUUCAGUUUUGCGUCUCGGUUAUUCCAAAACCUUUCGUUUUCCUCGAUCGACCUCCGGAGUUUGUUCCUCGGGGUCUAUAACAAUAAAAAUGAAUUUUUAAUACUUCAUAUUAUUCUUUUUGAGUCUAAAUUUCACCCUAGAUAAAAUGACCAUUUUACCCCUAAACUUUCACAUUAUUUACAAUUUAGUUCCUAGGCUCGUAUGAUGAAAUGCAUGAAUUUUCUACAUUACCCAAGCCUAGCCGAAUGUUCUUUUCUCUUAUGAAAGCCUACAUUUUUCCAUUAUUAUACAUUUCUACCACAUAUUUUACACCUUUUGCAAAAAGGUCAUUUUAGGGGUUUUUCAUGAAAAUCAUCUAGAAAAAUAUGUUUAACACACAUCCAACUUUCAUAUUCCUCCAUAAAACAUCAAAGAAUAAACAUAUCACACAUGGGUCACUUUGAAAACAUGAACCCUAACUCAAAAUACGGGUAGAAAUGGAUAGAGUAAGCUACCGGGAUUUCAAAAAUACGAAGAAUAUUAAAAACAGGGAUAGGCAGCACUUACUAUUGAGCUUGAAAAGUGAAGAAACCAUAGCUAUGGAGGCUUUCAAAUUUCAGCAGCAAGAUGGAGAAGACGAGCUGAUUUUUGUCUUCAUUUUCCCAUUUUAUUUCAUUAAUUACCCAAAUGACCAAAAUGCCCUUAAACCCUUUCUUUAAAAUUUUAUCCAUACAUGCCCAUUUUUGUCCAAAAUGUAGAAAUUAGGAAAAUUGCUCUUUAAUACCUUAUAAUUAAUAAUCUAAAGCAAUUUCAUACAAAUUGCUUCUAGAAUCCAAGUUUUGCAAUUUAUUCAAUUUGGUCCUUAUUUUCCAAUUGGACACCUUACUCAUAGAAUUUCUUCAUGAAACUUUAGCACAUGCAUAUUUUCAUAUUCUAGACCUUAUAAUAGUCAUAAAAAAAUAUUUCAACAUCAAUUUUGUGGUCCCGAAACCACUGUUCCAACCCACAAAGAACCCGACCCACAAAGAUUUGCUGUUAAGUCUAAGGCAGUCACUUAUGAACUUAGAGAGGAGAAUAUGAGUGAAAAAAAGGUAAGAAAGCGGUGAGAGAAUUAGAGAGAUAAAAAAGCUAAAAAUUUGAGUGAAACACGAGUAGAGAGCACAUCUUUUUUUUUCUUAUGAGUGAAUUGGUGAGCUUUUUGGUAAGGUUAAAACAAUAUGUCACGAAGUCCUAAAAGGAAUGCUGCUGAUGGUGGUGGUCUGCGCCCCGUACGAAGCGUAGCCGAUGGUGGUGGUGGUGUACCCGACCUAACUUUUUAAGCCAUUAUCUACGAGAUGGAUCGGACACUCCAAAGGCAUUUAGAACCCAUGCAAGAACAACUAGAACAAUUGAAAGAAAGGGUCUAGUGAGAAACAACUCCACAAAAUCUGAGGAGGGAGCGAGGCCGACCAAGGCUAAACCAAGAUGAGCUCUACGAUCCUAAUGAUGUGGAGAGAGAUCAAGCCUUUAACCGAAGUGAGAGACGAUGAGGCCACAGAAAUCACGGGCCUUGGGAGCGUGAACGAGUAGAUGAUGAUCUCAAGAAUAUUAAAAUGGUGAUUCCACCAUUCCAAGGAAAGAUCGAUCCCGAGGUGUAUUUGGAAUGGGAAAAGAAGUUAGAACCUGUCUUCAAGUGCCACAACUACUUGGAGAGCAAAAAAGUUAAACUUACUCCCAUCGAGUUCUCUAACUAUGCUAUCAUUUGGUGGGACCAACUUACCAUGAGCCGAAAAAGAAACAGAGAACGACCCGUGUCCACAUGGGCGAGAUGAAAGCUAUCAUGAGGAAAAGAUUCAUUCCAACUUACUACCACCGAGAGCUGUAUCAAAAGCUACAAAACCUUACUCAAGGCCAUCAGAGUGUGGAAGACUAUCACAAAAAAGUAGAGAUAGCCAUACUCCAAGCCGACGUCGAGGAGGACCAGGAGGCUACCAUGGCAAGAUUCCUUGCUAGGUUGAAUCGAGAUAUUGCUAACGUGGUAGAAUUAUAACACUACGUCAAAGUUGUAGAAAUGGUGCACAUGACGAUUAAAGUAGAGAAACAACUCAAACGAAAAGGUGUCGCUCGAACAUAUCCCAACUCCACUCCUUCAUCCAAGUAGGGAUAAGGAACCAGCAAGAAAGAAACUCCCUUUUGAGUGAAGAAACUCGUGGUAUCCACAAAGCCCAAUAAGUUGAGUGGAGAAACGAGCAAAGGAAAAAAUAAAGCUGUGCCUAACCACACCCAUGACAUCAAAUACUUCAAGUGCCUUGGGAGGGGUCACUCGAGUCAAUACCCCAAUAGAAAUAUGAUGGUUGUAUGACCCAAUGGUGAGAUCGAAUUUCAAGAAGAGAAAGAAGAUGAACUCGAAGCACUCACCGAAGAAGAGAAAGAUCUUGAAUAUGUUGUUGAAGGUGAAAUAUUAGUUAUCAAGCGGAGUUUAAGCCUCCAAAGUAUGGAGAAUGAGCAGAAACGCGAAAAUAUUUCCACACGGGAUGCCAUGUUCAACACAAAGUGUGUAGCGUGAUCAUCGACGGGGGAAGCUGCACAAACAUUGCUAGAAACAUGUUGGUGGAGAAGCUUGGACUACCAUCGACUAAACAUCUACAACAGUACAAAUUGCAAUGGCUUAACUAUAGAGGAGAGCUUAAAGUUACCAAACAAUUGUAGCCUUUUCCAUUGGCAAAUAUAGUGAUGAAGUCAUGUGCGAUGUGGUGCUAAUGCAUGCUGGCCAUUUGCUUUUGGGAAGACCAUGGCAAUUCGAUCGAUGAGUGAUCCAUGAUAGUUACACUAAUAGAUAUACGUUCAAACACCUUAGAAGGAAUGUGACUUGGCGCCAUUAACCCUUAAGCAAGCGUACGAGGAUCAGUUAAAAUUGAAAUAUUCUGUUGAAAAGUUGAGAGCGAAAGAACAAGAGGGAAAGAGUGAAAAAGAAAAGAUAUUAGAAAAAAAAAGAAAGGAAAGCAUGAGGUAAAGACGAGGGAAAAGAAUAAAGAGAGUGAAAUAAAAGUGAUAGAGGAAAAAUAAAGAAAAGAAGAAAAAAAGAUUGAAAAUUUAAGUGUGCAUGCAAAAGAGAGGUUAAAAAAUUGAGUGUGUAUGCAAAAGAGAGGGAAAUUCGAAAGACAUUAUUGUUGAAAUAGCCAAUGCUUGUACUUAUGUACAAGGAAAAUUUACUUAAUACUAACGACUUAGAUGACAACCUUCCUUCUUCGAUUGUCUUUGUUGCAAGAUUUUGAAGAUGUAUUUCCGGAAGACGUCCCUAGUGGUUUACCACCUAUUUGAGGGAUCGAGCAUCAAACCGAAGCUACAAUUCCAAACCACCCAGCCUACCGAAGUAACCUCGAAGAAACCAAUGAACUUCAAAAGCAAGUAGCCGAGUUGAUGGAGAAGGUGUAAUGACCCAAAAAUUCACGGGCAGCGAAAAAGUGUAGUAUCGGGCCUCUGUUUUAGUAAACCAAGUUCGUAAAUAAUUAUUAGGAAUAUUUGUGAGUCUAGUAGUAUCUUUAAUUAGGCUUUAAUUAAGUGAAAUUAGCUCAAUUUAGAGAAAAUAGUAAAAAGGACUAAAUUAAAUAGCGAUUAAGCCAUUAGCAAGAAAUGAUGCGGCAUAUAUGUAAUAAAAAUCUAAGAUUUUUAUGUUAUAUUUUAAUUAUAUAAUUAAUUAUUUAGAUAUAAAUUAUGUUAAAUUAAUUUAAAAUAAUUAUAUUAUAAGAUUUUUAUAUGAUAAAUAAAUUAAAAUUAUGACAAGUGGAUGGUGAUUGUAAUGUACAAAUGUAAAAUACAUAUGUUUACAUUUGUAUUACAUAUAUUUGUUAUUAAAUAGAUAUUUAUUUUUAAAAUUAUUAAUUUUUAUUGUUGUUUAUAUUAUUAUUAUUAUUAUUAUUAUUAUUAUUAUUAUUAUUAUUAUUACUAUUAUUAUAUUAUGGAAUAAAUUAAGAAAAGAUAAAUGUAGGGUGUAAAAAUUAUACAUGUGUCAUGCAUAUAUUUAUACACUUGUAAAAUAAAUAUAUAAUUACUUAAAAUUUAAGUAUAAAGAUAUUUAUAAUUAUUAAUUAAUUAAAUAUAAAAUAAAUAAAUCAAAUGGUGCCAAAUGUAGGGUGAUAAAGUUGUACAAAUGUAAUAAAAUAUGUAUAUAGACUUGUAUUAUAAUCAAUUGGAAUUAGGGUAUAAAUUGGAUAGAAAUUCAAUUAUUAUUAUUAAUUAUUGUUGUAAUUAAUACGUAAAUUAUUAUUAUUAUUUUCGUAGCUAGCAAAGAACCCAAGGCAUCGGCACAAAAAGGAAAGGAGAAAGUUAUCGAGGAGUAAUUACGAAAUCUGAGUUUGUAUUACUAUAAUUCAAGUUAUUUUUAUUAAAUGUUAAAUUUUUAAUUAUAUGUAUGGUAAGUAAAUUAUGAGGCAAGUAUUAUUAUGGAAUUGAAAAGGAAAUUGAAUUGAUGAUGGAUAAGUAUUGAUAUUAAAUUGUAUAUUGAUGAAAAGUGAAAUUGAAUUGAUUUGUAAAUGAAUUGAAAGUGGUAUUGAAUUGAAAAAGUGAAUUGAAUACCCUAUUAACUAGUCGGGCUGAGUCGGAUAUAAUUGGUAUGCCAUAGGAUUGGAAGAG